rnacentral:rRNA from 1 species
UACGGGGGGGGGCAAGCGUUGUUCGGAAUUACUGGGCGUAAAGGGCGCGUAGGCGGCGAUCCGAGUCAGAUGUGAAAGUCCUGGGCUUAACCUGGGGACUGCAUUUGAUACUGGAUUGCUUGAAUUCGGGAGAGGAUAGCGGAAUUCCCAGUGUAGAGGUGAAAUUCGUAGAUAUUGGGAAGAACACCGGUGGCGAAGGCGGCAUCCUGGACCGGUAUGACGCGUGAGGCGCGAAAAGCUGAGGGGAGCAAACGGG